rnacentral:lncRNA from 1 species
GUGACUAAAAUACUCAAUGAGUCAACCGUCAAGAGAGGGCACCCCUACUUAGGGUUGCUGGGGUGAUCAGGCCCAGAAACCCAAAGUUGGGGCUCCCAGGGGUGGAGCCUUUUACUCUUUAAAGAUUUCUUUGUUUCCCAGUUGCAAAGCUCAAAAGGAGAUGAAAAUGGCCAUUGUAACUCUAAGAGAGACAAAAGAAACGGGUCCAUUACCGUGAAAAAUCCCCCCUGAACUUAGGGCAGUGUCCUACCCGUCUUUCCUGCUGUGGGGUUCCUAUAGCAAGGGGUGAUGGGGGCGUCCCCCGGCAUUGCAUCCCUCGUAUACCUUCCCUGUUAUGCCUGGCAGUAACAGGUGCCUGGUGCCUAUUCUGCCUGGCAGCAUAGGCCUGGUGAAUGGUCCCUGAGAGAAAAGGAGAAAGAAAAGGAGCCAUUACCUUGAAAAUCCCCCCAAUGGGGUUCCUGUAGCAAGGGAUGAUGGGGGCAUCCCUUGAACAUCUUCCCUAUUCUGCCUGGCAGGAAUAGGUGCGUGGUGAAUGGUCCCCAGGAUAAAGGAUAGAGAAAAACAGUGAGGAAUUUUCCGCCAGUCUGGGGGACAUUCUACCCAAUUGCAGCCUGGAGCCAUUCUCCCAAGAAGGGGUUCCCAUACCACCAAAGGUUAGAGUUUGGUACUUUCCUUGAACUGGAGUCCCGAUUGGGACCUUCCCGCAGUUCGAAGAGUGGUCAGGUGCCAUGCAUGGGAGGGAUCCCAAUCCAGCCUUAGGAAAAGAAACCUUCCACGGGAGUCUUGGAGAUUGGCGACCGUCCUAAUGACUUAAGCGGCCGACCUGUGCCCACGUAAAAUUUGUCUAUUAGAGAUAGAGUCAGGAAGGAAUGGAUUAAUUCGUUCUUCAUCACCCUGAGGCUUAAGGUACUGAUUCUCUUCAAGCUGAAUGCCGCGAUUUGCCCCAUAGUGUAGCCAUGGGCAGCAAACGUGGAUUCAUACAGCCAUCCAAGAAAGUUCCCGA